GACGAACGCUGGCGGCGUGCCUAAUACAUGCAAGUAGGACGCAGUUGCGAACGGGUGAGUAACGCGUAGGUAACUACCUAUUAGAGGGGGAUAACUAGUGGAAACGAUAGCUAAUACCGCAUACUAGUAGAUGGACCUGCGUUGUGUUAGCUAGUAGGUAGGGUAAUGGCCUACCUAGGCAACGAUACAUAGCCGACCUGGGAGGGGUGUCGGCGAACAGGGGAAUGAGACACGGCCCAGACUCCUACGGGAGGCAGCAGUAGGGAAUCUUCGGCAAUGGGGGGAACCCUGACCGAGUAACGCCGCGUGAGUGAAGAAGGUUUUCGGAGCGUAAAGCUCUGUUGUUAAGGAAGCGGUACUUAACCAGAAAGGGACGGCUAACUACGUGCCAGCAGCCGCGGUAAUUC
rnacentral:rRNA from 1 species